ensembl:lncRNA AABR07058017.2
GUCCCAUUAUGACAGUUCCCCAAGAUUACUCCUCUCCUUUGCCUUUCAAAUGAUGGUGUGUCCUAAAAAUCGGACGUCGAUUGACUACGUAGCUUAGAAAUUCAACGAGCAUAUUGAGGAUUCUGUGUCCAGGCACAAUGUUAUCUGCAAAGUUGGAGGCCGGUCCCAACAUGGAAUAGGUUUGGCUUCUCACCCCACAAAUCAUCGCCAUGGACUUCGUGUCUAGAAACAGCUUUUUGGUGUCUGAAAGUCCAAGAGUUAGAUCCAGACCCUGCCAUAUCUCCAUGUUACCGCAGUGGCAACUUGACUGUCUUCCUAACUCCAAUCGAUGCCGCAAUGCAAUGGUGACUUCAUUACUAGAUGACUCGGAUUCAGGGAUUUGGACCCCAGAGAGCUUGAAAGUCCUAUUUAUGAAUGUGUCUCUGAGGCUGUUUCUGGAGGAUGGCCUUUGAGUCAGCAGACUGAGCAAGGAGACACCCUUGCAAAUGCUGGUGGGCACAAUCCAAUUCACAAGAGCUAAGGGAGGAUCAAAGGCAGAGGAAGAGACUCGCACUGCUUAGGUUAGACAUCUCCCCCUCUUGUGCUGGACACCGGCACUCUUGGUUCUUGGGUCUUUGAACGCACACUGGAGUUUUGUAUCCAUGUGCCCCUCAGUUCUUAUAAACUUUUGGCUGGAGCUGCAACUGUGCCUUUUGAGGACUGAGACAAGUCAGUCCCUCAUAAUCUCUCUCUAUAUGUCUGUGUACCUUACUGCUUCUGUUUCUCUGAAGAACCCCGAUUGAAAAUUUGGGAAGGAAUACUGCACUACUACUUUCCAG